UACGUAGGCAGCAAGCGUUGUUCGGAGUUACUGGGCGUAAAGGGUGCGUAGGCGGCCUUAUAAGUAUGGUGUGAAAUCUCCCGGCUUAACUGGGAGGGUGCGCUAUAGACUGUGGGGCUAGAGUGCGGGAGAGGAAAGUGGAAUUCCUGGUGUAGCGGUGAAAUGCGUAGAUAUCAGGAGGAACACCGGUGGUGUAAACGGCUUUCUGGACCAUAACUGACGCUGAGGCACGAAAGCGUGGGUAGCAAACAGG
rnacentral:rRNA from 1 species